CCAGUGGUCGCAAUGUGGUAACAUGUGUUGCUAAAUUGCUGGUAAAAUAGGAUUUGCAGAUUAUACAGUUUCUCAGAGUAUAUGCAAAUAUCUGUAGUUUUACUGCUUGCUGUUCCCACAAAUUGCUGUCAUUCAAAAUGAAAUGCCGUGGACUUCUUCUGUAAAGGAUUUGUGGACGCAGUGGGCUAAUACGUGUGUGUGACAGAUGAACAGUUCAAACGUGAAUGUGGGAGAGGUGACUUGGAAAUUUGUCUACAGACACGUGACCAAACCUUCACCACAGGAGCGAGGUAAAGGUACUUCUUCAGAUUGUGCUGAUGUUUAAGAUCUUUCAGAGCCUUCAUACAGGGCACUACCUGGAAUGCUUCAUGGUGCAUGGCUGGCUGUUACAUGAGAGUGGUUGUGCACGUGAUUCUCCCUACCAAUGGGCCUCGGGUGACCUUUCUUGCUACAGGCUGUCGGUGGGAGUGCAAAGCAACAACACGAAAGCGGAAUGUGGAGAGCGGCAGGCGUGACCAGGGACUGUGGCCGCGGACUCGGUUCACCACGACGGAACGGCCACCUGCGUGGGACGGGGAUGGACGGGGGAAAGCAGCCCGCGGUUGUAUUCUCCUCCUGUGAGCUGUCCGUCGGGCUCCGUUCCAAGAGGCCAAGCCACCGGAGUGGUCCGCAGCUGUGAGAACGAGCAAGCUCUUCAGUGUGAGCCGCCGUAUGAAAGUCGCUGUGCUGGGCUCGUCCAGAGGAAAUGGCCUGUCGUGGACUGAGCUGGACAAGUAAUCACAUGUGCAUUUUUCUUUCAAAUAUUUCACCAAGUAGAGAAUGGAAUUCUUCAUUUGUAGGUGCUAAAGGGCAGUUGCCUAUUUUGAGACAAGAAAGAAAGCAUUUAAAAUUAAGUUUUAAACAUUUAAAUUAAUAAUUUAUCCUUUCUUAAACAUCAGCGCAG
rnacentral:lncRNA from 1 species